GAUGAACGCUGGCGGCGUGCCUAAUACAUGCAAGUCGAGCGAAAGGACGGGAAGCUCGCGCCCCUACGGUUAGCGGCUGACGGGUGAGUAAGACAUGGAUAAGCUACCUCUAAGACUGGGGUGACUACGGAAAGACGGUGACACUAAUAGCUCAUAUGUUCUACGGGUUGGAUCAAAAGAGCUAGACGCUUUUGCCGUUUCAUAUAGCUGGAGCCGCGCUGCAUUAGCUAGUUGGUAAGGUAACGGCUAACCAAGGCAACGAUGCGUAGCCGACCUGAGAGGAUGAUCAGCCACACUGGAACUGAGACACGGUCCAGACUCCUACGGGAGGCAGCAGUGGGGAAUAUUCCGCAAUGGGCGCAAGCCUGACGGAGCAACGCCGCGUGAGUGAUGAAGGUCUUCGGGUCGUAAAGCUCUGUUAUUAGGGAAGAAAAGAUGUGUAUGAAUCUGCGGAUAUCCUGACGGUACCUAAACAGUAAGCAACGGCUAACUUCGUG
rnacentral:rRNA from 1 species